rnacentral:rRNA from 1 species
CAGCCGCCGCGGGAAUACAGAGGGUGCAAGCGUUAAUCGGAAUUACUGGGCGUAAAGCGCGCGUAGGUGGUUCGCCAAGUUGGAUGUGAAAUCCCCGGGCUCAACCUGGGAACUGCAUCCAAAACUGGCGAGCUAGAGUAUGGUAGAGGGUGGUGGAAUUUCCUGUGUAGCGGUGAAAUGCGUAGAUAUAGGAAGGAACAUCAGUGGCGAAGGCGACCACCUGGACUGAUACUGACACUGAGGUGCGAAAGCGUGGGGAGCAAACAGGAUUAGAUACCCGCGUAGUCCCUGUCUCUUAUAC